UAUGUAUGAAAAGGAACACCCUGAGAACAGAGGUGUAACUAGAAACUACGUUGUACACCUCUGUUCUCAGGGUGUUCCUUUUCAUACAUA